rnacentral:rRNA from 1 species
AAACUUACCAGGUCCAGMCAUAGUAAGGAUUGMCAGAUUGAUAGCUCUUUCUUGAUUCUAUGGGUGGUGGUGCAUGGCCGUUMUUAGUCGGUGGAGUGAUUUGUYUGGUUAAUUCCGAUAACGAASGAGACCUUAACCUGKUAAKUAGUUCUCAAUACUCUGUAUUCUGCAACUUSUUAGAGGGACUAUGUAAAUCAAUUACAUGGAAGUUUGAGGCAAUAACAGGUCAGUGAUGCCCUUAUAUGUCCUGGGCUGCACGCGUGCUACAYUGAUGCAUACAACAAGUGCCUAGCCAGACAUGGUAUGGCAAUMUYGAAUAUGCAUCGUGAUGGGGAUAGAUCUUUGCAAUUAUAGAUCUUGAACGAGGAAUUCCUAGUAAGUGCAAGUCAUCAUCUUGCAUUGAUUAUGUCCCUGCCCUUUGUACACACCGCCCGUCGCUCCUACCGAUMCCGGGUGAUCCGGU